UACAGAGGUCCCAAGCGUUGUUCGGGUUCAUUGGGCGUAAAGGGUGUGUAGGUGGCGCCGUAAGUCAGUUGUGAAAUCUCAGAGCUCAACUCUGAAACUGCACUCGAUACUGCUUUGCUCGAGGACUGGAGAGGAGAUUGGAAUUCACGGUGUAGCAGUGAAAUGCGUAGAUAUCGUGAGGAACACCAGUGGCGAAGGCGGCUCACUGGCCCGGUACUGACGCUGAGGUGCGAAAGCGUGGGGAGCAAACAGG
rnacentral:rRNA from 1 species